rnacentral:lncRNA from 10 species
AAAUUCAGGAAGCACAGUGCUGGCAUCUGCUUGGCUUCUGAUGAGGGCUUUUAUGCUACAUCACAUCAUGUUGGAGAAGAUCAAAGGGGAAGUGGACAAACGUGAAGAGCUAAAACCCAAGGGGCAUCCUGGCUUUACAACAACCCACUCUUAUGCGAACUAAUCUAUUGCCACAGGGACUAGUCCAGUGUCACCAGAGCAAGAACUCACUCACUACUGGAAGAAUGGCACCAAGCCACCCAUGAAGGUGGAGCCCCUGUGAUCCAAUCACUUCGCAUUAUGCUCCACUUGCCAACACCAUCACAUUGGGGAUUGCAUUUCAAGCUGAGUUUUGGUGGGGACAAAAAACCAAUUCUGAACCAUAGCAGCCAUUUUCAGAUCAUCGUGGGAAGCCUGCCCUUCUCUCCUCUGAAAGCAUUUAUUAUACACAGAAUGCCUGAGGUCAGAAGUUCCCUUUUGUGACCAAAUGGGCUAAGACGGUGGGAUCCAAGAUGGAAGCUCAACCUCUGAAGAACCUCUAGGUUCAUUAUAGUCUAAUUUCCAUGCUAAAUAACACACCCACCAACAUCAUGACCAUUGACAGUCUUCAUGACAACAACUGGAAGAAACCAUAGAAGGACAAAACAGAAGGUGGUACUCCGGUUUUGAGAAGUUUUCUGCCCAUUACCGGAAAAGACAUGAAUAUUCCUCCCCUUGCUUUUAAUGCCCAACCCAUUCAUUAAAGAUAUCCUAUAUCUGUGUUUUCCCAGCUCUCAUGAGUGAACUGAGAAGUUGAUUUGUGAGCCACACUCCUGCUUCUCAAUUUCAUGGCCAUCAAACAAGACUGCACUGCUCGAGGCUUUCUUUUGGUUUUGCGUAUUGGCUUCACAACACUUAGUAGGAAAAGAUCCAAUUUUGGGGGGGACCAGCUUUAUCAGUAACAAAUUGGCUCACACAAUCACAAAGGCAAAGUCCUGUGAUAGGUUUUCUACAAGAUGGAGUGUGAAAGAUCCCACCAGCCUGGGUCCUAGAGAAUACAGUAGUGUGGCUCAGUCCAAGUUUGAAAGCUCAAAACCAGGGAAGCUGACAGUGAAGACUUUAAUCUGAGGCUGAAGGGCUGAAAGCCUCUAGGAGGCUGCUGGUGCAGGUCCCAAAGUCCAAAGGCCGAAGAACCUGAAGUCUGAUAUCCAAAGGCAGUAGAGGGGAAAGGACAUCCUGCUGUAGAAGAGAGAGAGAGCAUGAAAAAGAAAACUAAACAAGCUGAAUAUCUCCCUUCUUCUGGAUACUUUGUUCUAGGUCUAACCCCAGAUUAGUGCCCAUCCACAUUGAGAGCAUGUCUUCCUCUCUCAGUUCAUUGACUCACAUGUCAAUCUUUUCUGGAAACACCCUCAUAGACACAACCAGAAACAAUGCUUCACCAACCAUCUAGACAUCUCUCAAUCUAAUCAAGUUGACAUCUAAAAUUAACUGUUACAGGGGUCCAUCCUUUCUUUGUAAAGAGGCUACAACAGCUCUUCUCACCAUCAUUCUCCAUAGCACAUUUGCACAAUGUGUACUUCCUAUCCCUGAAACUUUAAGGUCUGCCAUAUUAGAUAUCCUGUGUCCCAAGAGAGACUGCUUCCAGUAAGAGACACAGGUUGGUUUCUAUUAAACUUGAGGCUACAACCACUACCUGGUCACUUCAAUUUCCUCAUGGCAAUGGAUCAGCAGGCAAAGAAAGGAGUUUAUAUAUCAAUAGGGAAAAUCAACCGUGAUUAUCACUGUUGGGGUUCAGAAACCGAUACCCCAAAAUACGGCACUUUGACAUGCUGAACUGAAAAAACAUCUAGAUCUCUCUGACCAUCCUCCUCCCUACUGUCUCUCAAUCUUCUGUCUCUCCCAAAGCACAGAUAGAGUUCUCUGAAGUUUCUUUUCCUGCCUGAAGUGUGGACCCACCAAAGAGAACCACACCUGAACAAACCCUUUCACAUGGUAAUAUCUGUCACACUCAUUCAAAUUCCCAAGAAAACUAUUUACAAGUUAAUCUCUGUCCCAAGAUCUAUUCAUUCUCCCUAGUAAUCAUUUAUUGCCCCUCAACAGAAUCUCUCUUCUUCCCCCUCCUAUAACCUGUUCUGCCACAAUAACCUGUUUUGCCAGAAUCCAAGCCCCCAUUCUUUCUGCAAUUUCAUGAUGGUAUAUAAGCUUCUACGCCCCAUUGGGGUAUGAGGCAAUUACUCUGUGAUUCUUCUUGUGUAUGUGUUAAUAAAUGUGUAUGCCUUUUCUCCAAUUAAUCUGCCUUAGAGGGCACAGAGGUAGAUUUUCUUUUGGCCUCUGCACCAUGCACAGAUAAAGGUUGUUGCUGCAUAAUGGGGAUAGGGAGGAAUAUGUCUGAAAUCCAGAGGAUUCAUCUGGCAUUCUGUUUACAGAAAAACCAAACUCUGUAAAAUAUUUUAAAGAGGUUUAUUUUGAGCCAAUAUGAGUGAUUGCGGUUCAGGGAAAACACUAACACAAAAAGCCUUGAGUAAGUGGUCCUGAGGAAGCCAGGCUACGGUUUGUUUAUUAUUUUUUUAUUUUUUUGCUGAUAGUAAAUAGAAUGCCAUACAGUUUGGUUUUAUACAUUCCAGGGAGGCAGGAAUUACAUGCAAAAACAUAAAUCAAUACAUGGAAGGUAGACAUUGGUUCGACAAGAUAUCUUGAAGCACAGGGUUGAGGGAGAGUGGAGCUUACAGAUUAUAGGUGAAUUUGGAGAUUAUUUAAUUUCCAAUUGGUUAAAGGAGUAAGGCUCUGUCUAAAACUUGAGGUCAGAAGAAAGAAAAGUUCAAGUUAAGAUAAGGAUGCUAUAUCAGAGCCAAUCACAAUAUACUGGGUCAAAAUGACCUCUUUAGCAAGAUUGAUGGCCUGCAGGCAUGACUUAACCCUUGCCUGGCAUGGUCCUAGGUUUUGUUUAUAAUUUGGUGUCUUAUUGCCACAAGGUUCUGUUUUGUCAGUCGUAUUAUCUCUAUUUUAACAUUCUGCAGGUUGGUUGCUGUCUAAACUACAAAAGGGAAGGGGCAUCAUGAGGCAUGUUUGACCUCCCGUCUUGUCAUGGCGGGGAACUCAGUUUUUAAGGUUUCCCUGGGUUCCCCCUGGCCAAGAGGGGGUCUGUUCAGUUAAUGGGGUGGGCUUAGAAUUUUAUUUCUAGUUUACAAUUCUUUUGGUGCUUCUGUGCUCACUGACAAUGGUAAAUGGAAUCAGUAUAAAAUAGUUGUUGAUUGCUUCAUAAUUUUAAGAUCAUUUACACUUGAUGUAUUAACUAAAUGGGGCUAAAUACGACAAAGUGUCCUGUACUAUUGUCUCAGAAAUCAUUCUAGGAAGCUUGUCCUUUUACUCUUUGUCAUGGUUAGUCCUGGUCCUUUAAAAACUAUCUCUCUAUCCUUAUUCACUCUUUGGAGACUGCAGGUGGAUUUAGCAACAUUCAUUCUUUAAUCACCUUCCCGUUUUUUUUUUUGUUUUGUUUUUUUUUUCGGAGUCUUGCUCUGCCACCCAGGCUUGAGUGCAGUGGUGUGAUCUCUGCCUUCCAGGUUCAAGCAAUUCUCCUGUCUCAGCCUCCCGAGUAGCUGGGAUUACAGUGGCAUACCGCCACGCCCGGCUAUUUUCCUGUUUUUUUUUUUUUUUUUUUUUUUUAUUAUACUCUAAGUUUUAGGGUACAUGUGCACAUUGUGCAGGUUAGUUACAUAUGUAUACAUGUGCCAUGCUGGUGCGCUGCACCCACUAAUGUGUCAUCUAGCAUUAGGUAUAUCUCCCAAU